UACGGAAGGCAGCAGUGGGGAAUAUUGCACAAUGGGCGCAAGCCUGAUGCAGCCAUGCCGCGUGUAUGAAAAAGGCCUUCGGGUUGUAAAGUACUUUCAGUCGUGAGGAAGGUGUUAAGGUUAAUAACCUUAGCAAUUGACGUUAGCGACAGAAGAAGCACCGGCUAACUCCGUGCCAGCAGCCGCGGUAAUACGGAGGGUGCGAGCGUUAAUCGGAAUUACUGGGCGUAAAGGGCACGCAGGCGGUUAAUUAAGUUGGAUGUGAAAUCCCCGGGCUUAACCUGGGAAUGGCAUUCAAGACUGGUUAGCUAGAGUCUUGUAGAGGGGGUAGAAUUCCAUGUGUAGCGGUGAAAUGCGUAGAGAUGUGGAGGAAUACCGGUGGCGAAGGCGGCCCCUGGACAAAGGCUGACGCUCAUGUGCGAAAGCUGGGGAGCAAAC
rnacentral:rRNA from 1 species